AACGAACGCUGGCGGCAUGCCUAACACAUGCAAGUCGAACGAGACCUUCGGGUCUAGUGGCGCACGGGUGCGUAACGCGUGGGAACCUGCCCUUAGGUUCGGAAUAACUCCCCGAAAGGGGUGCUAAUACCGGAUAAUGUCUUCGGACCAAAGAUUUAUCGCCUUUGGAUGGGCCCGCGUUGGAUUAGCUAGUUGGUAGGGUAAAAGCCUACCAAGGCGACGAUCCAUAGCUGGUCUGAGAGGAUGAUCAGCCACACUGGGACUGAGACACGGCCCAGACUCCUACGGGAGGCAGCAGUGGGGAAUAUUGGACAAUGGGCGAAAGCCUGAUCCAGCAAUGCCGCGUGAGUGAUGAAGGCCUUAGGGUUGUACAGCUCUUUUACCCGGGAUGAUAAUGACAGUACCGGGAGAAUAAGCGCCGGCUAACUCCGUG
rnacentral:rRNA from 1 species